GACGUAGGGCGCGAGCGUUGUCCGGAUUUAUUGGGCGUAAAGAGCUCGUAGGCGGCUUGUCGCGUCGACUGUGAAAACCCGCGGCUCAACCGCGGGCCUGCAGCCGAUACGGGCAGGCUGGAGUUCGGUAGGGGAGACUGGAAUUUACGGUGUAGCGGUGAAAUGCGUAGAUAUCGUAAGGAAGACCAGUGGCGAAGGCGGGUCUCUGGACAGUUCCUGACGCUGAGGCACGAAGGUCAGGGGAGCAAACGGG
rnacentral:rRNA from 1 species